rnacentral:rRNA from 1 species
UACGUAGGGUGCGAGCGUUGUCCGGAAUUAUUGGGCGUAAAGAGCUCGUAGGCGGUCUGUCGCGUCGAAUGUGAAAACCCGGGGCUCAACUCCGGGCUUGCAUUCGAUACGGGCAGGCUAGAGUUCGGUAGGGGAGUCUGGAAUUCCUGGUGUAGCGGUGAAAUGCGCAGAUAUCAGGAGGAACACCGGUGGCGAAGGCGGGACUCUGGGCCGUAACUGACGCUGAGGAGCGAAAGCAUGGGGAGCGAACAGG